UUGCUGGUGAGGAAGCCUAUGAAACUCUUCUGGCAAGGAGGCCUGGGCAAGACCCUGCUCAAGCAGGGAACAGACAGAGAACCCUGAGAAUUUCCACUGAAUGUGUCGCUUUUGAUAAUCUGCCAUGCCACGAGUAUGGAGAGACUUCAUCAGGCUGAAUUUCAGAAAUGAAUUUUGAAUGCAUCUGAAUUGUGAAACUGUCCUUAGUUGCAGCAAUGCCAAUCAUGAGUUAUUCCACUGAUGUCGAUGGAGUUGAGUCGGAGUAAGUGAAAUUGGAAUCAAGGCUGGUGUGUCUCUGGUGGAUACACUAGUAAAAGUUAUACAGCUAACCCAGCAAACUUAAAAACAAACAAAACCCUCUCAAAUGUUUAUGCGAAUCCAAAAUUGCUAAAUUUCAUCUGCGUUUGAAUUUUGGCUCUGCUCUAGUAAUCUGAGGCAAAGAAAGGUUAAAGCACCAGCUCUAAGCAUUAAAAAAUUAGGAGUCAGGUCCCAAAAAUCUGGAGACUGGCUUAAAAACCAUGAGAUUUUUAAAUAUAAUAGAAUUCUUUUUAUUUGCUUUCUGGAUUUUGCUCUCAGGACAGAGUUUCAAACUUUUAUCCACAACCACAAGGACUACAAACUUCUUUUCAUUUAAAAAAACAAAACAAAACAACAACUGUGACUCUCCUGAAAGCCCCUAGAUUUGUGGAGCUCUGGGGCUUAAUGAAAAACUCUCAGUACUUGUGGAAAAACUUGUGAUGAAAUCAGGAGAGUAGAGACACUGGAGCUGGUAAUAGAACACAGGAGUCCGAACUUUCAGGCUGCACGAUAACUACUAGAGGAGAAUUCCUCCCAUGCAGGCCUUCCAAGGUGGAAGUGAAGAUCCACUCCAUACCCUUCAGUUUUUCCACACCUUUUAAAUUACAAUUCAGUACUGUGACAUCACAUUGCUAGUAUUUGCUACUUAGUAGAUCAUGUUGCCAGAUUCUGGUCUCAGUUACUGCAGUGUAAUUCCUAAGUAACUCCAGUGAUGUGUAGUAGAUCUCAAUCUGGCCCUCUGUUUAAUAGCACACACGUUUGUGUGCCUGAAAUAACAACUCUCAUUAAAAAUACUCCAGUAUUCUAGAUUCAUUGCUCA